rnacentral:rRNA from 1 species
UGGGGGAUAUUGCACAAUGGGCGAAAGCCUGAUGCAGCGACGCCGCGUGGGGGAUGAAGGCUUUCGGGUUGUAAACCUCUUUCGCUAUCGAACAAGGCUCGCUUAGGGUGGGUUGAGGGUAGGUGGAGAAGAAGCGCCGGCUAACUACGUGCCAGCAGCCGCGGUAAUACGUAGGGCGCGAACGUUGUCCGGAAUUAUUGGGCGUAAAGGGCUUGUAGGCGGCUUGUUGCGCCUGCUGUGAAAACGCGGGGCUUAACUCAAAUGGUGAAGUGGGUACGGGCAGGCUUGAGUGUGGUAGGGGUGACUGGAAUUCCAGGUGUAGCAGUGGAAUGCGUAGAUAUCUGGAGGAACACCGAUGGCGAAGGCAGGCCACUGGGACAUUACUGACGCUGAGGAGCGAAAGCAUGGGUAGCGAACAGG